GUUAUGGCUCAGCGGUGGAGUGCUCGCCUCACAUGUGUGAGGCCCUGGGUUUGAUCCUCGGCAUCACA
rnacentral:tRNA from 1 species